AGUCUGAUGCAGCCAUGCCGCGUGAGUGAUGACGGCCCUCGGGUUGUAAAGCUCUUUUUGUAGGGAAGAUAAUGACGGUACCUGUAGAUGAAGCCCCGGCUAACUUCAUGCCAGCUCCCGCGGUAAUUGAGCCAGCACCCGCGGUAAU
rnacentral:rRNA from 1 species